GGUGAACGCUGGCGGCGUGCCUAAGACAUGCAAGUCGAGCGGGGCAGGUUUAUACCUGUUCAGCGGCGGACGGGUGAGUAACGCGUGGGUGACCUACCCGGAAGAGGCGGACAACCUGGGGAAACCCAGGCUAAUCCGCCAUGUGGUCCUGUCCUGUGGGGUAGGACUAAAGGGUGGAUAGCCCGCUUCCGGAUGGGCCCGCGUCCCAUCAGCUAGUUGGUGGGGUAAAGGCCCACCAAGGCGACGACGGGUAGCCGGUCUGAGAGGAUGGCCGGCCACAGGGGCACUGAGGCACGGGCCCCAGUCCUACGGGAGGCAGCAGUUAGGAAUCGGCCGCAAUGGACGGAAGUCUGACGGAGCGACGCCGCUUGGAGGAGGAAGCCAUUAGGGGUGUAAACUCCUGAACUGGGGACGAAAGCCCUGUGGAGGGGGAUGACGGUACCCAGGUAAUAGCGCCGGCCAACUCCGUG
rnacentral:rRNA from 1 species